rnacentral:lncRNA from 1 species
GUGGAGCUCCAGGAUAAGUCAUUGAGAGGAGCAACUUCAGAAAAGGAGGUGUGCCAACAGAUCGCCCACUGCCCUGGGAGUCAGAAAUGGCUCACGUAUACCUACUCAGGAAUCAGCCUGUAGGCAAACCACGGAGUGAGGCUGGGAGUGCCUGGGUGAAGGUGCUUGUGCACGUGGGAGGGGAGCGAGCACCUUCUCUUGGUGCCAACUCCCCACCCCCCAGGAGAAAGGCCAUGCUGAGAGAAGCAGAAAUGAGACCCUGCACACGGUGGAAAGUUUUCCAUUAAGGUAUUGUUUCUGUCAUCAUGUUGAUAUGACUCUGACCAAGUGAUAUCUCAAGGUUGAGAGGCAGAGAGAUGUGUGAAUCAGAAUCAACUGGGGAGAUUUUUCAAGCCACUCUCUCCCUGGCCCCAUCCUUCCAUCCCCCAGUUGCAAACUACUGUAACUGAAGAAAACUUCAGUGACUGGUUCCAGCAGGUAUGGGACAUCAGUAUUGGGUUCUAAAUAGUGGGAGAUGUGCACAUGGUGAUUAAGGUCAAUGUCUUCCGUUUCAGGAAAAGCUGAGUUUGAAUGUUGACCCCACUCCCUCAUUAACUAUAGGAUUUUGAACAAUCUAUUUCACCUUUAGAAGCCUUCAUUUCCCCACCCAUAAAGAACUUGCCUUUAAAAUUGGUUUGUGGCUGCCAUGUAGUUAGUACUCAAUAAAUAGUUCUGCCAUUGGUUCAUUGCUAACUCCAACCCCAACUGUCCACUCUGAACCAUGGAUUUCAGGCAAUCUUUGUCAUUCUCUCACAAAGGUUUAAUAGAUGUAGGAUAUAUGCUUAAAUAUACAAUUUUAAGGCUGGAAAUAACUCUAAAACCAUAACAAUUACCCUCACCAAACCCUCAUCUUAUGGUUAGAAAAACUGAGGCUCGGAAAAACAAGAGAUUUAUCCAAGGCUACAGGCUAUGUGGAAGGGCCAGGACUAGAGCCAUACCUUCUGGCUUCCAGUCUAGCGAUUUUCACUUCCUGCCUCUCAGACCACACACUUGAUAAAAAUAAGAUGUUCUUGCUUUAAGAAGUUAAUGAUGAGAAUGUUAUUUCCUUUCUGCGACUGGGUCAGUCAUGUCAUCACAUAGAACAAGAAAAAUCCUAUGAGAUGGCCCUCAUCCACCUAAUAAAAUUAAUAGCACAGAAAGAUAUGGAAAACUACCUCCUGCUAUUGCAGAUGGAGCAUCCAAAGGCCCAGAGAGGAGCAAGCAACAGCCUAGACCUAGGACCCAGAGAGAGACCCAUGUUGUGAGGGGAAAGACAGGAAGUAAGGAGGAGAGGGCCCAGUACUCCUUACUGGCAAAAAAUCUGCUUCCCCAGAUUGGUCCAGGAUUUCAAGCUGCUCUGCCUCCCCUGAGAAUUUACAAGGAUUUCCAAAAGCUGCGUGUUUUUUCACGUGGCUGCUGCUUCCUCACGCCUUUCAUUCUUGCCCUUGUGAUUAAUACAGACAUUCGUGUAUCUGCAAUGAACUGAUACUAUGAGUCCCCUGCCCUGGGUGAACAUGGAGGUGCCCAGACCCACAGGGAAUUCAGGAAGCAGAGCAGGGGCAGUGACUGACACCCAGAAACUUUACAUUCAAGUCAGCAGACGACGGCUAGAUCUGCGCCUCUAAAAAUAGGCCCAAAGGAUCUUCAAGGCUCCCUCAACAGGGCGGGGUGCCAACACCGCCUGAAGAGCUGUACUACGGUCUGAUUCCCAGGACUCAGUGGAGGGGAGGGGAAGGUCACAGGACUGGAAGCACACCCAGUCCAGUUCUGGGC